rnacentral:rRNA from 1 species
UACAGAGGGUGCAAGCGUUAAUCGGAAUUACUGGGCGUAAAGCGUGCGCAGUCGGUUAUUUAAGUCGGGUGUGAAAGCCCCGGGCUCAACCUGGGAAUUGCAUUCGAUACUGGAUAGCUAGAGUUCGGCAGAGGGCAGCGGAAUUUCCGGUGUAGCGGUGAAAUGCGUAGAUAUCGGAAGGAACAUCAGUGGCGAAAGCGGCUUCCUGGACCAGAACUGACGAUCAGGCACGAAAGCGUGGGGAGCAAACAGG